rnacentral:rRNA from 1 species
GGAAUCUUGCGCAAUGGGCGAAAGCCUGACGCAGCAACGCCGCGUGCGGGAAGAAGGCUUUCGGGCUGUAAACCGCUUUCAGUAGGAACGAAACUGACGGUACCUACAGAAGAAGGAGCGGCCAACUAUGUGCCAGCAGCCGCGGUGACACAUAGGCUCCAAGCGUUGUCCGGAUUUAUUGGGCGUAAAGAGCUCGUAGGCGGUUGAGUAAGUCGGGUGUGAGAACUUUGGGCUUAACCCAAAGAUGCCACUCGAUACUGCUUUGACUUGAGUUCGGUAGGGGAGUGGGGAAUUCCUUGUGUAGCGGUGAAAUGCGCAGAUAUAAGGAGGAACACCGGUGGCGAAGGCGCCACUCUGGGCCGAUACUGACGCUGAGGAGCGAAAGCGUGGGGAGCAAACAGGAUUAGAUACCCUGGUAGUCCACGCGGUAAACGGUGGUCACUAGGUGUGGGUCUCUUCAAACGAGAUCUGCGCCGUCGCUAACGCAUUAAGUGACCCGCCUGGGGAGUACGGUCGCAAGACUAAAACUCAAAGGAAUUGACGG